UCUGAUCAAAAUGCUCUAAGUUGAUGCCAUUGCUUCAUACCUGAGCUCUUUGAUCUAGAUUAGCAUUCGGGGACCCUCCGUGUCGUUUGAUAUUCCGUGAUCUCUAGCAUUAUUUGGUUAUUAUACAAGAACUACAAAGCAAUCUCAGCAUAUGGACACAUUGAUUUACAUGAACAUUUCUGCUGCAUAUGAGCUGUUCCAUAAGAUGUUGAUCACGAUACUAGGGCGGAGCUGUGCCUUAGAGACUAAAAAAUGAAGAUAGAACUAGUAUAACUAUGUUUUGAAUUCUGUACUUCCUUUUAAGACAAUGUAACACCCGUGUUU
rnacentral:lncRNA from 1 species